rnacentral:rRNA from 1 species
GAUUAUUUCACGGCCGCGGUACCCUAACCGUGCAAAGGUAGCACAAUCACUUGUUCUUUAAAUAGGGACUAGUAUGAACGGCACCACGAAGACCAUGCUGUCUCCUUUUUCUAAUCAGUGAAACUGAUCUCCCCGUGAAGAAGCGGGGAUUAUUUUAUAAGACGAGAAGACCCUAUGAAGCUUAAAAUUUUCAUCAACUGCCCCCCAUACACCACCUUAACCUGGCAGACCUGAUUACUAAUUUUUGGUUGGGGUGACCGCGGAGCAAAAUUAAACCUCCACAAUGAAAGGAUUAAACCCCUUAUUCAAGAAUCACACUUCUAAAAAUCAAUAUAUUGACAUAAAUUGAUCCAAACCUUUGAUCAAUGAACCAAGUUACUCUAGGGAUAACAGCGCAAUCCAUUUCAAGAGCCCCUAUCGACAAAUGGGUUUACGACCUCGAUGUUGGAUCAGGGUGUCCUAGUGGUGCAACCGCUACUAAAGGUUCGUUUGUUCAACGAUUAAAACCCUACGUGAUC